rfam:Schistocephalus solidus strain NST_G2 genome assembly, scaffold: SSLN_contig0021090
GGGCCCGUGGCUCAAUGGUAGAGCGUUUGACUCAAAUACCAAAGGUCAAGGGUUCGAAUCCCAGGUGUGCCUU